ACUUGUGCUCAUAGGGUGGAGGUGGUGGAGAUUUGUAAAUGUAAGAUGGUGGAGGUGACGGUGAGGGAGGCGGUGGUGACUUGUAAAUGUAAGGUGGUGGUGGUGAUGGUGAUGGUGGUGGGGGUGACUUGUACUGGUAAGAUGGAGCCUUGUGCUCAUAUGGUGGUGGAGGUGACGGUGAUGGAGGUGGUGGUGACUUGUAAAUGUAAGGUGGUGGAGGUGAUGGUGAUGGAGGUGGGGGUGACUUGUACUGGUAAGAUGGUGCCUUGUGCUCAUAUGGAGGCGGUGGUGACGGUGAUGGAGGCGGUGGUGACUUGUACACAUAAG
rnacentral:lncRNA from 1 species